AAUAUAUUUAAUGUAUGUUACAGAUUGCUUUUCAAAUUAAACAUGAUGAAAAUAUUUUUUCCCUCCAAAAUAAAGUAUUUUUACUAUUUUAAAAUCUGGUUAGACAUUACAAAUAUUGUUCUUUUCUUUCUCUUCAUCUUUAUUUUGUUGAGCUUCUGCUUGAGCGUCUAGAUAUCCGAAGUUUAUUCUGCAGCAAAAAUUAUUCGCCCGA
rnacentral:lncRNA from 1 species